GUCACGUGCCCUGAAUGAUUUGAACAUAUAUGCAACAGUCUAUAUGCAAUGCAACUACUCAUACCAAUUGUCUCUGGGAGUUCAGAGGUGUUGGUACCUGGAGCCUGAGAGAGCUCGUCCAUUUGUUUGGGAGAAAAUCCCUUCUGUAUGGGUACCUGCACAAAUAAGCAUCUCUACAUAUUCCAAAUGCCAACACAACCAAGGGAUGGUCCGUUCCCGAUUUAUCUGGAAUCCCUGGGUCUGACCAUCAUAAAUACAUCAUCAUACAUAUUUAUACCUUGUUUCCCCAGUGUGCCGGGAUCAUAUGUGCAGGGUUAACGUCUUGUACC